CGAGUUUACAACUCCCAAACCCUGUGAACAUACCACUUGUUGCCUCGGCGGAUCAGCCCGCUCCCGGUAAAACGGGACGGCCCGCCAGAGGACCCCUAAACUCUGUUUCUAUAUGUAACUUCUGAGUAAAACCAUAAAUAAAUC
rnacentral:misc_RNA from 1 species